GACGAACGCUGGCGGCGUGCUUAACACAUGCAAGUCGAACGAAGAGCGAUGGAAGCUUGCUUCUAUCAAUCUUAGUGGCGAACGGGUGAGUAACGCGUAAUCAACCUGCCCUUCAGAGGGGGACAACAGUUGGAAACGACUGCUAAUACCGCAUACGAUCUAAUCUCGGCAUCGAGGAUAGAUGAAAGGUGGCCUCUACAUGUAAGCUAUCACUGAAGGAGGGGAUUGCGUCUGAUUAGCUAGUUGGAGGGGUAACGGCCCACCAAGGCGAUGAUCAGUAGCCGGUCUGAGAGGAUGAACGGCCACAUUGGGACUGAGACACGGCCCAGACUCCUACGGGAGGGAGCAGUGGGGAAUCUUCCGCAAUGGAGGAAAGUCUGACGGAGCAACGCCGCGUGAGUGAUGACGGCCUUCGGGUUGUAAAGCUCUGUUAAUCGGGACGAAAGGCCUUCUUGCGAAUAGGGAGAAGGAUUGACGGUACCGGAAUAGAAAGCCACGGCUAACUACGUG
rnacentral:rRNA from 1 species